UCGGACGGGUCAGUAACGCGUGAGAAUCUAGCUUCAGGUCUGGGACAACCACUGGAAACGGUGGCUAAUACCGGAUGUGCCGAGAGGUGAAAGGCUUGCUGCCUGAAGAUGAGCUCGCGUCUGAUUAGCUAGUAGGUGGGGUAAGAGCCUACCUAGGCGACGAUCAGUAGCUGGUCUGAGAGGAUGACCAGCCACACUGGGACUGAGACACGGCCCAGACUCCUACGGGAGGCAGCAGUGGGGAAUUUUCCGCAAUGGGCGAAAGCCUGACGGAGCAAUACCGCGUGAGGGAGGAAGGCUCUUGGGUUGUAAACCUCUUUUCUCAGGGAAGAACAAAAUGACGGUACCUGAGGAAUCAGCAUCGGCUAACUCCGUGCCAGCAGCCGCGGUAAUACGGAGGAUGCAAGCGUUAUCCGGAAUGAUUGGGCGUAAAGCGUCCGCAGGUGGCUGUGUAAGUCUGCUGUCAAAGAGCGAAGCUCAACUUCGUAAAGGCAGUGGAAACUACACGGCUAGAGUGCGUUCGGGGCAGAGGGAAUUCCUGGUGUAGCGGUGAAAUGCGUAGAGAUCAGGAAGAACACCGGUGGCGAAGGCGCUCUGCUAGGCCGCAACCGACCACUGAGGAACGAAAGGCUAUAACGAUCA
rnacentral:rRNA from 1 species